UUUUGACGGAGAGUUUGAUCCUGGCUCAGGACGAACGCUGGCGGCGUGCUUAACACAUGCAAGUCGAACGAUGAUGCCCAGCUUGCUGGGCGGAUUAGUGGCGAACGGGUGAGUAAUACGUGAGUAACCUGCCCUUGACUCUGGGAUAAGCCUGGGAAACUGGGUCUAAUACUGGAUACUACCUCUUACCGCAUGGUGGGUGGUGGAAAGGGUUUUACUGGUUUUGGAUGGGCUCACGGCCUAUCAGCUUGUUGGUGGGGUAAUGGCUCACCAAGGCGACGACGGGUAGCCGGCCUGAGAGGGUGACCGGCCACACUGGGACUGAGACACGGCCCAGACUCCUACGGGAGGCAGCAGUGGGGAAUAUUGCACAAUGGGCGGAAGCCUGAUGCAGCGACGCCGCGUGAGGGAUGACGGCCUUCGGGUUGUAAACCUCUUUCAGUAGGGAAGAAGCGAGAGUGACGGUACCUGCAGAAGAAGCGCCGGCUAACUACGUGCCAGCAGCCGCGGUAAUACGUAGGGCGCAAGCGUUGUCCGGAAUUAUUGGGCGUAAAGAGCUCGUAGGCGGUUUGUCGCGUCUGCUGUGAAAGCCCGGGGCUCAACCCCGGGUCUGCAGUGGGUACGGGCAGACUAGAGUGCAGUAGGGGAGACUGGAAUUCCUGGUGUAGCGGUGAAAUGCGCAGAUAUCAGGAGGAACACCGAUGGCGAAGGCAGGUCUCUGGGCUGUUACUGACGCUGAGGAGCGAAAGCAUGGGGAGCGAACAGGAUUAGAUACCCUGGUAGUCCAUGCCGUAAACGUUGGGCACUAGGUGUGGGGGACAUUCCACGUUUUCCGCGCCGUAGCUAACGCAUUAAGUGCCCCGCCUGGGGAGUACGGCCGCAAGGCUAAAACUCAAAGGAAUUGACGGGGGCCCGCACAAGCGGCGGAGCAUGCGGAUUAAUUCGAUGCAACGCGAAGAACCUUACCAAGGCUUGACAUUCACCGGACCGCCCCAGAGAUGGGGUUUCCCUUCGGGGCUGGUGGACAGGUGGUGCAUGGUUGUCGUCAGCUCGUGUCGUGAGAUGUUGGGUUAAGUCCCGCAACGAGCGCAACCCUCGUUCUAUGUUGCCAGCACGUGAUGGUGGGGACUCAUAGGAGACUGCCGGGGUCAACUCGGAGGAAGGUGGGGAUGACGUCAAAUCAUCAUGCCCCUUAUGUCUUGGGCUUCACGCAUGCUACAAUGGCCGGUACAAAGGGUUGCGAUACUGUGAGGUGGAGCUAAUCCCAAAAAGCCGGUCUCAGUUCGGAUUGAGGUCUGCAACUCGACCUCAUGAAGUCGGAGUCGCUAGUUGUAAGAGGGCAUGACGUUAUUGGCACGGGCCGGGGUGCGUGAGGCCGGGGGCUGAUCGCCGCAGGCGGUAUGGGGCCGAUGGUAGUUGAAGUGGUUCACCCAGACCCCGAUGGCGUACCGGCGGGCCUGCUCGCUGGCGUAGGGGCGGGCGUAGAGCACCUCGUCGGCCAGCAGGCGGUUGUACCGCUCCACCUUCCCGUUGUGCCGCGGCGUGUAGGGGCGGAUGCGCUGGUGGCGGCCGGCCAGGGCUUCCACGCAGCGGGUGAAGUCCUUGGCCCGGUAGUUGGCGCCGUUGUCGGUCACGACGCGGUUCAAUCGGGUGAUGCCGUGGGCGGCGAAGAAGGCUCUCGCCCGGCAGAAGAACCCGAUGGUGGUCACCGCCUUCUCGUCCUCGAGGGCCUCGGUGUAGGCCAACCGCGAGAAGCCGUCCACGGCCGAGUGCAGGUAGGUGUAGCCGACCUUGGCCCCGGCCCCGCGCUUGGCCGCCUUCGCGGCGGUGGAGCCGCGGCCGUGGGCCCGCCAGCCGCCGCCGUCGGGGAUCCUGCCCACCUUCUUCACAUCCAGGUGGACCAUGUGCCCGGGCCAGGCGGCGCGGAUCCGUCCCGGGGUCCUGCGGGUGUUCUCGCCGGCGGGGGUGAGGUCGCGCAGGCGGGAGAUCCCGAGCCGGUGCAGCCAGCGGCCGACGGUGCGCAGGCUGAUCGCCACGGCGCGGUCGACCAGGUGGCGGUGGAUGCGCCGCGCUGACCACUUGUGCUUGCGGCGCCAGCGCUCGAUGAGGUCCACGACCGCCGCCGGGGUGCGGGUGCUGCUGUGCCGCGGGGUCGAGGGACGGUCGGUGAGCCCGGCUUCGCCGGACUCGACGUAGCGGGCCACCCAGGUCGCCACGGUGGGCCGGCUGACGCGGAACUCCGCGGCCACGUGGGCCUUGGGGAUGCCGUCGUCGAGGUGGCGCAACACCAUGCGCAGCCGGCCGGUCGGGGUCAGGGGUGCGUUAACGUGGGUCAUGAACGGGCUCUCUCGCGCGGACGGACGGUGUAGGAACUUCCAUCCUGUGACGAGGAGCCCGUUCCUCAUCUCAUCGACGCACCCACGCCAAGAACCUCAUGACCCACAACAGCUAGUAAUCGCAGAUCAGCAACGCUGCGGUGAAUACGUUCCCGGGCCUUGUACACACCGCCCGUCAAGUCACGAAAGUUGGUAACACCCGAAGCCGGUGGCCUAACCCCUUGUGGGAGGGAGCCGUCGAAGGUGGGACUGGCGAUUGGGACUAAGUCGUAACAAGGUAGCCGUACCGGAAGGUGCGGCUGGAUCACCUCCUUUCU
rnacentral:rRNA from 1 species